CCUACGGGGUGCAGCAGUGAGGAAUAUUGGUCAAUGGACGCAAGUCUGAACCAGCCAUGCCGCGUGCAGGAAGACGGCUCUAUGAGUUGUAAACUGCUUUUGUACGAGGGUAAACGCAGAUACGCGUAUCUGUCUGAAAGUAUCGUACGAAUAAGGAUCGGCUAACUCCGUGCCAGCAGCCGCGGUAAUACGGAGGAUUCAAGCGUUAUCCGGAUUUAUUGGGUUUAAAGGGUGCGUAGGCGGUCGGAUAAGUUAGAGGUGAAAUCCCGAGGCUCAACUUCGGAAUUGCCUCUGAUACUGUCCGGCUAGAGAGUAGUUGCGGUAGGCGGAAUGUAUGGUGUAGCGGUGAAAUGCUUAGAGAUCAGACAGAACACCGAUUGCGAAGGCAGCUUACCAAGCUACUUCUGACGUUGAGGCACGAAAGCGUGGGGAGCAAACAGGAUUAGAUACCCCAGUAGUC
rnacentral:rRNA from 1 species